CAACGAAUCUUCCGCAAUGCGCGCAAGCGUGACGGAGCAAUGCCGCGUGCAGGAUGAAGCCUUUCGGGGUGUAAACUGCUGUCAGGGUUUAGCAACACAAUGAGCAGACCCAAAGGAAGGGCCGGCUAACUUCGUGCCAGCAGCCGCGGUAAUACGAAGGGCCCUAGCGUUGCGCGGAAUCACUGGGCUUAAAGCGUACGUAGGCGGACAAGCACGUAUCUUGUGAAAGCCCUCGGCUCAACCGAGGAAUUGCUUGGUAAACCGCUUGUCUUGAGGCGAGUAGGGGCUGUCGGAACGAUAGGUGGAGCGGUGAAAUGCGUUGAUAUCUAUCGGAACGUCGAAGGCGAAGGCAGACAGCUGGGCUCGUUCUGACGCUGAGGUACGAAAGCGUGGGGAGCGAACGGGAUUAGAUACCCCCGUAGUCC
rnacentral:rRNA from 1 species